UGCUUUUAAAAAUGAGAGUUGAUUAAAAAAAACCAAAAAUACACACAAGAAAAAAGUAACUAAGUGCCCUGGACUGCAAAGACUGGGGUGGGACUCUUUCUCAGUGUCCAGUGUCCUGUGGCAUAAAUUCAGUGCAAUAAAU
rnacentral:snoRNA from 1 species